GAUGAACGCUGGCGGCGUGCCUAAUACAUGCAAGUCGAGCGAACAGACGAGGAGCUUGCUCCUUUGACGUUAGCGGCGGACGGGUGAGUAACACGUGGGUAACCUACCUAUAAGACUGGGAUAACUUCGGGAAACCGGAGCUAAUACCGGAUAAUAUUUCGCACCGCAUGGUUCGAUAGUGAAAGAUGGCUCUGCUAUCACUUAUAGAUGGACCUGCGCCGUAUUAGCUAGUUGGUAAGGUAACGGCUUACCAAGGCAACGAUACGUAGCCGACCUGAGAGGGUGAUCGGCCACACUGGAACUGAGACACGGUCCAGACUCCUACGGGAGGCAGCAGUAGGGAAUCUUCCGCGAUGGGCGAAAGCCUGACGGAGCAACGCCGCGUGAGUGAUGAAGGUCUUCGGAUCGUAAAACUCUGUUAUUAGGGAAGAACAAAAGUGUAAGUAACUGUGCACGUCUUGACGGUACCUAAUCAGAAAGCCACGGCUAACUACGUG
rnacentral:rRNA from 1 species